rnacentral:rRNA from 1 species
UACGGAGGGUGCGAGCGUUGUCCGGAAUCAUUGGGCGUAAAGGGCGCGUAGGUGGCCCGGUCAGUCCGUGGUGAAAGCGCGGGCUCAACCCCGCGUCGGCCAUGGAUACUGCUGGGCUGGAGCACUGUAGAGGCAGGCGGAAUUCCGGGUGUAGCGGUGGAAUGCGUAGAGAUCCGGAAGAACACCGGUGGCGAAGGCGGCCUGCUGGGCAGUUGCUGACACUGAGGCGCGACAGCGUGGGGAGCAACAGG